UACGGAGGAUCCAAGCGUUAUCCGGAUUUAUUGGGUUUAAAGGGUGCGUAGGCGGCUUUGUAAGUCAGUGGUGAAAUCCUGUCGCUUAACGACAGAACUGCCAUUGAUACUGCAGAGCUUGAAUAUGUUUGAAGUGGGCGGAAUGUGUAGUGUAGCGGUGAAAUGCUUAGAUAUUACACAGAACACCGAUUGCGAAGGCAGCUCACUAAACCAUUAUUGACGCUGAGGCACGAAAGUGUGGGGAUCAAACAGG
rnacentral:rRNA from 1 species